AUAAUACGCCCUCCGUCCCAAAAUUCUUGUUUUAGAUUUGUCUAAAUACGGAUGUAUGUAGUUAUGUUUUAGUGUUAUAUACAUCCGUACAUAGACAAAUCUAAGACAAAAAAUUUGGGAUGGAGGGAGUACUAU
rfam:Triticum aestivum genome assembly, contig: Triticum_aestivum_CS42_TGACv1_scaffold_033126_1BL